rnacentral:rRNA from 1 species
AAACGAUGAUUGCUUGGUGUAGCGGGUACCCAAUCCUGCUGUGCCGCAGUUAACGCGUUAAGCAAUCCGCCUGGGGAGUACGGUCGCAAGUCUGAAUCUCAAAGGAAUUGACGGGGGCCCGCACAAGCGGUGGACGCAUGUGGUUCAAUUAGACGCAACGCGAAGAACCUUACCUGGGCUGCAAGCGCAGUGGACCGGGGUAGAAAUAUCCCUUCAGCUUAAGGACUGCUGCGGAGCUGCUGCAUGGCUGUCGUCAUCUCGUGUCGUGAGAUGUUGGGUUAAGUCGUGCAACGAGCGCAACCCUUAUCCUUAGUUGCCAUCAGGUCAAGCUGGGCACUUUAGAGAAACCGCCCCGGACCACGCGGAGGAAGGUGGGGAUGACGUCAAGUCCUCAUGGCCCUUAUGUCCAGGGCCACCCCCGUGGUACAAUGGUCGGUGCAAACGGUGGCAAACCCGCGAGGGGGAGCUAAUUGGAAAAAACCGGCCUCAGUUCGGAUUGGAGUCUGCAACUCGGGUCCAUGAAGCUGGAAUCGCUAGUAAUCGCGGAUCAGCACGCCGCGGUGAAUACGUUCCCGGGCCUUGUACACACCGCCCGUCACAUCAUGAAAGUGGGCCGUACUAGAAGCAGGUGUGCUAACCGCAAGGAGGCAGCCUUCCAAGGUACAGUUCAUGAUUGGGGUGAAGUCGUAACAAGGUAGCC